UUGUAACUGUACAAUUCAUCCAUAACAAUAAAUCUCUUAAGAAAAACAAACAAGUAACUGAAGAGAUGUAUAUCCCUGACCUGUAGCCAGAAGUCCC